rnacentral:lncRNA from 1 species
AGCAAGGGGAGGAAGUGAGGUGGAGCAAUGGCCAAGUAGGGGAUCAAGUAACACCUUGGAAGCUGUGGUCAGAUCGUAGCUGUCAUUGCAAGUGCAAUGGGAGGACAGACACGAGAGAGUUUUGAGCACCUGUUUUACAUUUUAAAUUCCUCAUCUGGCAGCUGUGCGCUUCAGAGACAGCAGGACAAGCAGAGUGGAAGCAAGGGUAGCAGUUUGCCAAUCUGAUGGGUGAAAUACAGUGUUUCAAUUGUUUUCCCUAACUCCUAGUAAGGUGGUAUUAAGAGAGAAGAUCUAUAGCCAGUGAGGAAGAAGAGGACGGACUGCAUCUACACUAUCAAGAAUGAAGAGCAAAGGGUAGACAUGUGAGCCACAUCCGAAUCAAAACUGCAGUGAGACAUGUCUCCCUGCCGGUGUGUUCGCUACUCAAAGCAAAAAAAAAAAAAAAAAAAAUCAUCUUCUUGUGCAUCAAGAGGUAAUGAGAGGACACUGGACUGGGAGUUAGGAGAACAGGGUUUUCAAGUUCCUUUUCCAUCAGCUUGAAGUGUGGUUUGGAGCAAGUUAUAUAUGCCAGGUGGACUCUCUAGGCCAGUGUCUUCGCUGGAAGAAGACUGAAGGAUUUCCAACAUCCUUUGCCCACCAUGAGCACCCAGAGUUUCAGCAGGAUGCCCUGGGUUCUGCAGACAGUAACACCCAGAGCAGGAGACUGCCCCUGAGCCUGUGCCCAGACAGAGGACCUCACAGAGCACAGGCCUCCUGUAUUUUUUCCACUUGACCACAUUCUUAUCGGCAGGGUAGUGCUAUUGUCGGGUUGCCCAUCAGAUAGAACAUUCCACCACAGGUGGAUGCAUUUCAGUGAGUCGCCAAUAAACUGCAAAGAAAUCCCUGCUUCUAGGAUCAGAUAGCCUGAAAUAGCAGAAGUACUUACAGACCUUUAAUUUUCGAUGCAACUCCACAAAAGAAC